CACAAACACACAAAAACAAACGAACAAAAAUGAGUCAAAGAAAUAUGUAACAAUACAAGGCACAAUAAAGUUGCAUUUAAGGUCAAUCAGAGAUAA